rnacentral:rRNA from 1 species
AACGUAGGAGGCGAGCGUUAUCCGGAUUUACUGGGUGUAAAGCGUGUGCAGGCGGACUUUCAAGUGGUGCGUGAAAGCGCCCGGCUCAACCGGGCGAGGACGUGCUAAACUGAGAGACUAGAGGUAGGUAGAGGCGUGUGGAAUUCCGGGUGUAGUGGUGAAAUGCGUAGAGAUCCGGAGGAACACCAGAGGCGAAGGCGACACGCUGGGCCUGACCUGACGCUCAGACACGAAAGCAUGGGGAGCGAACGGG